GAUGAACGCUGGCGGCGUGCCUAAUACAUGCAAGUCGAGCGAACAGACGAGGAGCUUGCUCCUCUGACGUUAGCGGCGGACGGGUGAGUAACACGUGGAUAACCUACCUAUAAGACUGGGAUAACUUCGGGAAACCGGAGCUAAUACCGGAUAAUAUAUUGAACCGCAUGGUUCAAUAGUGAAAGACGGUUUUGCUGUCACUUUUAGAUGGAUCCGCGCCGCAUUAGCUAGUUGGUAAGGUAACGGCUUACCAAGGCAACGAUGCGUAGCCGACCUGAGAGGGUGAUCGGCCACACUGGAACUGAGACACGGUCCAGACUCCUACGGGAGGCAGCAGUAGGGAAUCUUCCGCAAUGGGCGAAGGCCUGACGGAGCAACGCCGCGUGAGUGAUGAAGGUCUUCGGAUCGUAAAACUCUGUUAUUAGGGAAGAACAAAUGUGUAAGUAACUACGCACGUCUUGACGGUACCUAAUCAGAAAGCCACGGCUAACUACGUG
rnacentral:rRNA from 1 species